AUACUUCCUGAAUGGUCUUUUGGCUAAGAUCAAGUGUAGUAUCUGUUCUUAUCAGUUUAAUUAUUCUUAAUGAAUUCAUUUUGUAAACAAUCUUGUAUGAAUAUGAUUUUUUCCCUGAGAUAGUAGAGGUAGGAAUUUGGGUUUUCAGAUAUCAGUUCGCUUUUCCCUAUGUUCAGAACUUUGACAGAGCCACC
rnacentral:snRNA from 1 species